UAGGGUUAGGGUUAGGGUUGGAGUUAGGGUUAGUGUUGGAGCUAGGGUUAGGGUUGGGCUUGGAGCUAGGAUUUUUCUGAGUGCAAUGAACCAACUCCCGAGUCUCUAGGACGUUCCUAAAAAAAUUUGAUUUUUUUUCCCAUAGGAAUGCAUGGGUUAGGGUUAGGGUUAGGGUUGGAGCUAGGGUUAGGGUUAGGGUUAGGGUUGGAGUAAGGGUUAGUGUUGGAGCUAGGGUUAGGGUUGGGCUUGGAGCUAGGAUUUUUCUGAGUGCAAUGAACCAACUCCCGAGUCUCUAGGACGUUCCUAAA